rnacentral:ncRNA from 1 species
CCGGAUACCUUGGAGCCGCCGCACCGGACAAAAGCGACGGCACCCCAUAAGCAA